ACGAACGCUGGCGGCGUGCUUAACACAUGCAAGUCGAACGGUGACACGAGAGCUUGCUCUCGUUGAUCAGUGGCGAACGGGUGAGUAACACGUGAGCAACCUACCCUUGACUCCGGGAUAACAGUUGGAAACAGCUGCUAAUACCAGAUAUGAACUCAGCAGGCAUCUGCCGUGUUGGAAAGCUCCGACGGUCAAGGAUGGGCUCGCGGCCUAUCAGCUUGUUGGUGAGGUAACGGCUCACCAAGGCGACGACGGGUCGCCGGCCUGAGAGGGCGACCGGCCACACUGGGACUGAGAUACGGCCCAGACUCCUACGGGAGGCAGCAGUGGGGAAUAUUGCGCAAUGGGCGAAAGCCUGACGCAGCAACGCCGCGUGCGGGAUGACGGCCUUCGGGUUGUAAACCGCUUUCAGCAGGGACGAAACUGACGGUACCUGCAGAAGGAGCACCGGCUAACUACGU
rnacentral:rRNA from 1 species